CGGUCAGGCCGUAAGGAAGUGUCAAGCGUCCUCUCCACGCUCAGCCCAGAGAAGACAGAGGAUGAAGCUGAGACCUUCUUCCCUCAGUACAGUAUGGACCACCAUCCUCCAGAGGGCAGUGAGCCCCUCCUCUUCUCCUCCCGCCUAAAGGAGACUCGGGCCUUUCAUCCCCACUCAAAGGAGGAGGCCUAAAGGAGACUCGGGCCUUUCAUCCCCACUCAAAGGUAGCACUCUUUUCCCAUUCCUCAGUGACACUGGCAGCCAUAGGGGAACAGCCAUGUGACACAUUUCUCCUUCCAAGGCUGGAUGGUCUUAGCAGGAACCUAAUAGCAUCCUGAGCUCUCAAUAACAUGAGGGAGGGCUGCAUGGAGACUCUGGAUUUACAGCCCUGCGAAGGGAUGAGCCAGUAUGUUGCUUCUUGGGAACAGCAGGAGGUGACUGCCAAAGUGAAAGUCAUAAGACCUCAGCUCAGGCGCUCAUAAUGCAAAAAAUGCACUAAGGUCAAGGAAAUCUCAAGCCAACAGAGGAAAGAUAAUCUACAGAUACCAACCUCAAGAUGACACUGAGGUUAGAAUUAUCUGACAAAGACUUCAACGAUGCCUUUAUAAAAAAAAAAACACUUCAAGAAGAAUCACACACUCAUGGGCCUGAGGCAGGAAGGUGGCUGCCUUGAUCGCUUUUCAUGGCUGUGAUGAAGCAGGGCUCAAGCAAGAAGAUCACAAAUUCAAGAUUGAUCUAUCUCAAAAACGAAAGAGAGAAAGUCAAGGCGGUUGUGAUGGUGGCUCACACCUUUGGUCCCAGAACUUGGGAGGCAGAGGCAGAGGGAUUGCUGAGUUCAAGGCCAGCCUGGUCUACAGAGUGAGUUCCAGGACAGCCAGAGCUACACAGAGAAACCCUGUCUCAAAAAUAAAUAAAUAAAUAAAUAAAU
rnacentral:lncRNA from 1 species